rnacentral:rRNA from 1 species
AUUGGAGGGCAAGUCUGGUGCCAGCAGCCGCGGUAAUUCCAGCUCCAAUAGCGUAUAUUAAAGUUGUUGCAGUUAAAAAGCUCGUAGUUGAACUUUGGGCCUGGGUGGCCGGUCCGAUUUUUUCGUGUACUGGAAUGCACCCGGGCCUUUCCUUCUGGCUAACCCCAAGUCCUUGUGGCUUGGCGGCGAACCAGGACUUUUACUUUGAAAAAAUUAGAGUGUUCAAAGCAGGCGUAUUGCUCGAAUAUAUUAGCAUGGAAUAAUGGAAUAGGACGUUUGGUUCUAUUUUGUUGGUUUCUAGGACCAUCGUAAUGAUUAAUAGGGACGGUCGGGGGCAUCAGUAUUCAAUUGUCAGAGGUGAAAUUCUUGGAUUUAUUGAAGACUAACUACUGCGAAAGCAUUUGCCAAGGACGUUUUCAUUAAUCAAGAACGAAAGUUAGGGGAUCGAAGAUGAUCAGAUACCGUCGUAGUCUUAACCAUAAACUAUGCCGACUAGGGAUCGG